UGAGCAAUCUGCCCUUCUCUUCGGAAUAAAGCGUUGGAAACGACGUCUAAUGCCGAAUACGACCUCCUUUCGCAUGAUCGGAGGUGGAAAGCUCCGGCGGAGAAGGAUGAGCUCGCGGCCUAUCAGCUAGUUGGUGUGGGUAACGGCCCACCAAGGCGACGACGGGUAGCCGGCCUGAGAGGGUGACCGGCCACACUGGGACUGAGACACGGCCCAGACUCCGUACGGGAGGCAGCAGGG
rnacentral:rRNA from 1 species